AUUCGGAAAGCUUUUGAUGCACAAGACCAAAGUGGUGGUGGAGGCUUUAUUAGUGUGGAAGGCUUCCAUCAAGUCCUCAGGGAAACUGUUAUCAGACUUCCUCCUGAGAAAAUUGAUCACCUUUGCAGUGCAGGCUUUAUUGUAUGGAGCGAGUUCUGGCAGGUCAUUUUGGAUUUGGACAAGAGUUUGGGAGGCCUAAAGGAUUCAAGUGGAUUGAUGGGUAAAAAGGUGUUUGAUCUUUACCAUUUUAAUGGCAUAGCAAAAUCUGAUUUAAAUGGCAGUCACAUGGUCUUAGGAGGUGAGACACCAGUGCAGAGACCUAGGCUAACAAAGCUCAGGGUUUCAGUUCCACCAAGAUGGACUCCGGAGGAAUUCAUGGCAGAUGUGGCAGUGCCUUCUGGUUCUGGGGGAAAUGGAUCAGUUAGUAAAGAUACUGAAGUGACAAAACCUGAGCC
rnacentral:misc_RNA from 1 species